rnacentral:rRNA from 1 species
GAGUUUGAUCAUGGCUCAGGACGAACGCUGGCGGCGUGCCUAACACAUGCAAGUCGAACGAGAACCCGGAGCUUGCUCCGGGGGACAGUGGCGAACGGGUGAGUAACACGUGAGAAACCUGCCCCAGAGACCGGGACAACCAUUGGAAACGAUGGCUAAUACCGGAUGCCCUCACAUGGUCGCAUGGCCGAGUGAGGAAAUGCUCAGGUGCUUUGGGAGGGUCUCGCGGCCUAUCAGCUAGUUGGUGAGGUAACGGCUCACCAAGGCAUCGACGGGUAGCUGGUCUGAGAGGACGAUCAGCCACACUGGGACUGAGACACGGCCCAGACUCCUACGGGAGGCAGCAGUGGGGAAUAUUGCGCAAUGGGCGAGAGCCUGACGCAGCAACGCCGCGUGUGGGAUGACAGCUUUCGGGUUGUAAACCACUUUCAGUGACGACGAAAAUGACGGUAGUCACAGAAGAAGGUCCGGCCAACUACGUGCCAGCAGCCGCGGUAACACGUAGGGACCAAGCGUUGUCCGGAUUUAUUAGGCGUAAAGAGCUCGUAGGCGGUUUCGUAAGUCGGAUGUGAAAACUCAGGGCUCAACCCUGAGACGCCAUCUGAUACUGCGAUGACUAGAGUCCGGUAGGGGAGCAUGGAAUUCCUGGUGUAGCGGUGGAAUGCGCAGAUAUCAGGAGGAACACCAAUGGCGAAGGCAGUGCUCUGGGCCGGUACUGACGCUGAGGAGCGAAAGCAUGGGGAGCAAACAGGAUUAGAUACCCUGGUAGUCCAUGCCGUAAACGUUGGGCACUAGGUGUGGGGUCUUCUAACGGAUUCCGUGCCGUAGCUAACGCAUUAAGUGCCCCGCCUGGGGAGUACGGCCGCAAGGCUAAAACUCAAAGGAAUUGACGGGGGC